AAGACUUUGAUCUCAGAGAUAAUUUCUAACUUCAUUAUUAGAGAUAUUUCUCUGAUCAUGGAGAGCAUCCAAAACUAUGAGCAGGAGCCAGUGUCCUAUCCUGAGAGUGAAGCCAGUUCUAGGUGUUGCUUUUGCAACUGAAUUUUACUAUUGAUGAGUGUUCAUUCUUUUCUUCCCUUGGAAGGAGAGGGGGAGGAUAUAGUUCAAGUAGU